UCUCCGUUGGUGAACCAGCGGAGGGAUCAUUACCGAGUUUACAACUCCCAAACCCCUGUGAACAUGCCAUUUGUUGCCUCGGCGGUGCCUGCUUCGGCAGCCCGCCAGAGGACCCAAACCCUUGAUUUUAUACAGUAUCUUCUGAGUAAAUGAUUAAAUAAAUCAAAACUUUCAACAACGGAUCUCUUGGUUCUG
rnacentral:misc_RNA from 1 species